CAUGUACUCCCUCCGUCCCAAAAUUCUUGUCCUAGAUUUGUCUAAAUAUGGAUGUAUCAAGUCACGUUUUAGUAUUAGAUACAUCCGUAUCUAGACAAAUUUAAGACAAAAAUUUUGGGACGGAGGGAGUACUAC
rnacentral:pre_miRNA from 1 species